rnacentral:rRNA from 1 species
AUUGAACGCUGGCGGCAGGCCUAACACAUGCAAGUCGAGCGGAUGAAGGGAGCUUGCUCCUGGAUUCAGCGGCGGACGGGUGAGUAAUGCCUAGGAAUCUGCCUGGUAGUGGGGGAUAACGUCCGGAAACGGGCGCUAAUACCGCAUACGUCCUGAGGGAGAAAGUGGGGGAUCUUCGGACCUCACGCUAUCAGAUGAGUCUAGGUCGGAUUAGCUAGUUGGUGGGGUAAAGGCCUACCAAGGCGACGAUCCGUAACUGGUCUGAGAGGAUGAUCAGUCACACUGGAACUGAGACACGGUCCAGACUCCUACGGGAGGCAGCAGUGGGGAAUAUUGGACAAAGGGCGAAAGCCUGAUCCAGCCAUGCCGCGUGUGUGAAGAAGGUCUUCGGAUUGUAAAGCACUUUAAGUUGGGAGGAAGGGCAGUAAGUUAAUACCUUGCUGUUUUGACGUUACCAACAGAAUAAGCACCGGCUAACUUCAUG